rnacentral:rRNA from 1 species
GACGAACGCUGGCGGCGUGCUUAACACAUGCAAGUCGAACGGAAAGGCCCUGCUUUUGUGGGGUGCUCGAGUGGCGAACGGGUGAGUAACACGUGAGUAACCUGCCCUUGACUUUGGGAUAACUUCAGGAAACUGGGGCUAAUACCGGAUAGGAGCUCCUGCUGCAUGGUGGGGGUUGGAAAGUUUCGGCGGUUGGGGAUGGACUGGCGGCUUAUCAGCUUGUUGGUGGGGUAGUGGCUUACCAAGGCUUUGACGGGUAGCCGGCCUGAGAGGGUGACCGGCCACAUGGGGACUGAGAUACGGCCCAGACUCCUACGGGAGGCAGCAGUGGGGAAUAUUGCACAAUGGGCGGAAGCCUGAUGCAGCAACGCCGCGUGCGGGAUGACGGCCUUCGGGUUGUAAACCGCUUUCGCCUGUGACGAAGCGUGAGUGACGGUAAUGGGUAAAGAAGCACCGGCUAACUACGUG